rnacentral:lncRNA from 10 species
UAAAAAUACAAAAAUUAGCUGGUCAUGGUGGCACAUGCCUGUAAACCCAGCUACUCAGGAGGCUGAGGCCGGACAAUCACUUGAACCUGUAGUGAGCCGAGAUCGCACCAUUGCACUCCAGCCUGGACAACAAGAGCAAAACUCUGUCUCAAAAAAAGAAGAAGAAGAAGAAAAUGAGGUCUUCUAAACUGAUAGUCAAAGAGUCUUAUGAAAGCUGAGGAUAGAAGCUCACUGCCAUUUAAACCACGGGAAGAGGGGAAGAAGAAAAUCAGCAAGGGGUUAGAGAGGUCUGUUUGUGGAAGAGGCCAGGCUCAGCCCUGCCUGGGGCCUCAGUCUCCUGAUGGGGCAAGGACAAAAGGGGAAAGUGUGAACAUGUAAUAUGCCUUUCCUGUGUGGGAGUCCUUACGACAUGGUUUGCAUCAGAGGCUUCAUUCAUUCAUCCCAAAGACACUAAAGGGUACAUGCUGCCAUAUCCAUUGCAGAGAUGAGAAAACAGGCAAAGAGGGUGUGAAGUGGCUUGCCCUUCCACCAACAGCUCAUUUCAGAGCUAGGAGAAAGACAUUGGGGGCAGACAACCUCAAAGUUUUCUUCCAUCCUGAAAGGUUGGUUCAAGGAAAAUGUAGUAGAAUGAAUAAUGCCCUUCCCGCCACGACCACCACCAAAGAUAUGUCCUGGUCCCCAGACCCUGUGAAUAUGUUACCUUAUACGGCGAAAGAGAUUUUGCAGAUGUGAUUCUGUUAAGGAUUUUGAGACGGGGAGAUUAUCUUGUAUUAUCAGGGUGACCCCAGUAUACUCACAAGGAUACUUAAAAGUAAAAGGAAGUAGAAGAGUUCAUCAGAGGAAGAUGUGACUGCAGAAAAAAGGCACAGAGAUGCAUUGCUGCUGCCUUUGAAGAUGGAGGAAGGGGCCACAAGCCAAGGAAUGCAGCCAACCUUUAGAAUCUGGAAACUGAUUUCCCCUAGAGCCUCCAGAAGGAUCACCACAGCCUUCCCAAGGCUUCCGUUUUAGCCCAGUGGGACACAUGUCAGACUUUCAACGUGUCAGAACUGUGAGAUAAUAAAUUUGGGUUAUAUUGAGC